rnacentral:rRNA from 1 species
CGGCAGUAGCGCGGUGGUCCCACCUGACCCCAUGCCGAACUCAGAAGUGAAACGCCGUAGCGCCGAUGGUAGUGUGGGGUCUCCCCAUGCGAGAGUAGGGAACUGCCA